CGCAUCUGUGCAUGCAGCAUAUCAAUAAGCGGAGGAAAAGAAACUAACAAGGAUUCCCUUAGUAACGGCGAGUGAAGCGGGAAGAGCUCAAAUUUGAAAUCUUCAAGGUUUACCUUGACGAAUUGUAGUUUAAAGAAGUGUUUUCUGUUGAAGUUUUGGUAAAAGUUCUUUGGAAUAGGACAUCAUAGAGGGUGAGAAUCCCGUAUUUGACCAUUAUUUUCAGCUGUGUGAUACACUUUCAAAGAGUCGGAUUGUUUGGGAAUGCAGUCCAAAAUGGGUGGUAAAUUUCAUCUAAAGCUAAAUAUUGGCGAGAGACCGAUAGCGAACAAGUACCGUGAGGGAAAGAUGAAAAGAACUUUGAAAAGAGAGUUAAACAGUACGUGAAAUUGUCAAAAGGGAAGCGUUUGACACCAGUGUUGUUUUCUCGAAAAUCAAUUAAAAGGAGUUAGAUUUUGUUGUGUAUUGACCUUAACAGCUUGCAUUCCAAUUUUCUUGCUUUUUUUAAUGCACUUUUCGUUUAACAAGUCAACAUCAGUUUCUUUUGUUGUAAAAAGGUCAUUGGAAGGUGGCUUUCUUUUCGGAGAAAGUGUUUAUAGCCUUUGACUCCUGCAAUCGGAGAGACUGAGGUCUUCAGCGUAGAUCCUUCGGGGUUAGAUACAUUUGUGCUAAGUUAUAGCUUUUUAUAGACAACUUGUUGACUAUGAUUAGUCUUGUAGCUUACUCGCUUAUGCUAUUUUACCUACGCUUAGGAUGUUGACACACGCGCGUGCUC
rnacentral:rRNA from 1 species